UCCGGUUUGUCACCGGCAGUCACCUUAGAGUGCCCAACUGAAUGCUGGCAACUAAGAUCAAGGGUUGCGCUCGUUGCGGGACUUAACCCAACACCUCACGGCACGAGCUGACGACAGCCAUGCAGCACCUGAACCGGCAGUCCCCGAAGGGAAAAUCCUAUUUCUAGGACGGUCCACCGUUGUCUAGCCCAGGUAAGGUUCUUCGCGUAGCGUCGAAUUGAACCACAUGCUCCACCGCUUGUGCGGGCCCCCGUCAAUUUCUUUGAGUUUUAAUCUUGCGACCGUACUUCCCAGGCGGCGUAUUUAUCGCGUUAGCUACGCCACAAACGGGGUCGAUUCCGUUUACAGCAGAUACGCACCGUUUACAGCCAAGACUAC
rnacentral:misc_RNA from 1 species